UAGGUUCCACAGUUACAAGCAUAAUAGAAGGAGCGUUCGCAUACCAUCUGAUCACGUGGCACAGCUCUAUUGACACACGUACCCAAAAUAUGCGUUUGUUCACCUUCUGCAUUUAGGUUAAACCUGCCGUAGCCACUUGCAGUCCUCCUCGAUAUAGCGGUAUGCAAAGCACCAGAACUAGACUAAAAGGUAGCGAGCGCCUGUGCACUACAACUUGCGGAUUGGAGUUGCGAAAGGGGCACGGAACCCAGGCAAUUAAAUUAUGAAACCACUCCGACAAGGCGUCAUUUUCCUCAAGCAGUUUUCGCGGGCGCAGUCGCUCAUUGCCGCCUGCCGUGAAACUGAAGGCCAUUGCGUAAGAGGCCUGAGGCUUCCGGCCAAGAGCAUAUUUCCUCCUCACCGUCACUGUGUACGGCGUCUUGUGUAUUCCCUGUGGUGAGCAACUGGCAGACACCACCGGUGACGGGUAUUGCAUCCCUACCGACAAAAGAAGCAAACCUUCCGGCUUCUUGGGGUUGGCACAGAUUUCAACAAAACAAGGCAACUCAUCCGCACGUGGCCGACCCGAGAGACAAACCUGUUCAGCGCAGCGCGAAUCAAUGGUCAAAGUUAUGUUCGCUCAGCUUGGCUCCGUGCGAGGCAAUGUUUGUUUUUCUUUCGCACAGAGGGUAGCAUUCCUCUUACUGUCAAACAGAACCGCUCUCCUGCAUGGCAAUGCGACGCACUGAUAAGGCUCUGAUGCCUAUAAGAGGCCCUAGUUUACAAGUAGCUUCAAGAAACUCGCAGACGAGCCCAGCCGACGCAAAAGGACCGAGCCACAGCAAGCCGCACCGACAUGAACUGCAACGCCGCAACAUCCCUGACCAUUCUGCUGCUCCUGUGCGCGGUCUCCGCGCCUGUGCUGAGCCGAUGCCCUUCCACGGCUGGACAGGUCAGCGACUGCGCCAUCUCCAGGUGUACUCCGAGGCAGUGCGCCCUCAGGGGUCUUGAGUGUUGUCGCAAGCCCUGUGGAGGGACCUGGUGUGUCAGAGGAGUACGAGGCUAGUUCAAGUUCGAGAAUAUGAUCCACUUCGUGCUUCUGGAGGUGGCACGCUGUCCUCCCUGAAGAAAGGUGUCGAGUUGGCUGUGACCCCGCUGUUCGGUUUAAUAAAAGACUCCCAAUUUCUGCACAA